AUUACUAAGCGGGAACUAAUUUCGCCAAUACUCGGAUAAAAAUUAAGCGAGCGCCAAAUACAUAAUUUUUCCCUCUCGUGAUAUCACUUUUAGAUACUUAAGCUAAUAAAAAAAAUUAUUGGCCGAUAGACUUGAAAAGAAAAAGUCCAACUCUCUUUAGAAACUGAAACCCUAUUAAAAAAAAGAGUCCCACCGAUAUCUCUUCCUCCUCUCCGCUCCUCUUCUCCUAUCUUUCUCUCUCGACACCGACCAGUCUCCUCCGACUCUCCUUCUCGUUCUCUCCUCCGACAAGAGUCCUCAUGGAAUCGUCGUUCUCCCUUCUUCUUCUGCUAUUUAUUGUUUUGUAUUAGUCAUGGAGUAUGGUUUCAAUUAGUUUUAGUGUUAGGGUUUUGAAUUGGGGAUAAAUGAUUGUUCUGUAUUAGUCCUCGAUUUAGAUUGUUCUUAUCUCUGGUUUGAUUUUUCCUGUCUUUCCAUCUGUGUUUAUGUGUCUGGGUUUCGAUAUAUGGUUCUCCGUGUGUUCUGGUUCUCUCUGUACUACGGGUUUCAUUUUCUGUACAUAAUCAAUCAGUAUAGUUUGGUAACUGGUGUGACUUGUUUUAGCUUUGUGUUGUUCCUUGAUUUUGGAGCUUAAAAGUGCUUAUAACUGUGGUGUUGUGACCAUCAGUUUGGCUGUUGCAUUUGGAAGGCUCAGGACAAUGUUUGGCUGUUGCAAAUACAACAUCAAAUUUGCCGAAAGUUGUGAACGGCUCGAGGAAGAAACCCGACGACUCUCCACCAUCUGCGAGAGGCGAACCCGCGGCAGAGCUUCUCUUCCUCGGUAGCAGAGACGGAGAAGACAGAGGAAGAGGACGACGGCGGUGAAGAUAUAGUGGCCAUAUCAUCUCACCGACUGUGGUUUUCAGUCUACUCCUCAAGGAUGGAGGAGAAGACAUAUCCAGCAGAUGCUUGCUGUUGGGUUCUUUUGUUGUAAACUUUUCAGGUUCUUAUGUUGUUAGGUGACCAGAUACUUGCUGUUGGGUUUGAGGAGGCUGUGGAGUCU